AAACCAGUUUCCCACUGUAUUGUUUUUGUCUAAACCCCGUCUAUUUCUAAAAUGUAUCUGAUUUUAAACCUAACCUCACCGCUAACCGUAUAUCUGACCCUAACCUUAUAUUAAGACCAAAAAGCACAUUUUGUUUUCAUGAAUUUGUAUAAUAGAGCAAUUUUAGGUCGGCUAUCUAGUGGAAAACCUCUUGAACGCGACUCUAUCGAAGUCGCAUCUAAAUUACGUAGAUUUCAGGCGUCCGAGCUGUCAUUCUUUUGUGUUUAUCGCUCAACUAGCUACGACGUUUUAGAAAUGCAUUUUUCUUCGUUCCGUUAGCUAAUUGGAUAAACUAUAUGUAGUGAUUCUAUAAAUAUGGACUGGCGGACUAGAUUUAAUAUCGAUUGACUGUGUGUACAUGCAAAAAUGAACAAAGGGUGGCUGGAGCUCGAGAGUGACCCGGGGCUGUUCACGCUCUUGGUGGAGGAUUUUGGUGUGAAGGGGGUCCAGGUAGAGGAGAUAUACGACCUACAAAGCAAGUGUCCAAGCCCUGUGUAUGGCUUCAUCUUCCUGUUCAAGUGGAUCGAGGAGCGAAGGUCUAGGAGGAAAGUCUCCACUUUGGUGGAUGAGACCUCUGUCAUUGAUGAUGACAUUGUUAAUGACAUGUUCUUUGCCCACCAGCUGAUCCCAAACUCCUGCGCCACCCAUGCACUUCUGAGUGUGCUCCUGAACUGUAGUGGGGUUGAGUUGGGCACUACCCUCAGUCGCAUGAAGACUUUCACUAAAGGCUUCGGCCCAGAGAGUAAAGGCUACGCCAUUGGAAAUGCCCCAGAGCUGGCUAAAGCACACAACAGCCAUGCCAGACCGGAGCCCAGGCACCUGCCGGAGAAGCAGAACGGGAUUAGCGCCGUGCGGACCAUGGAAGCAUUCCACUUUGUCAGCUACGUGCCCAUCAAAGACCGACUGUUUGAGCUAGACGGCCUCAAGGCGUACCCCAUUGACCAUGGGCCAUGGGGAGAGGAGGAGGAGUGGACGGAUAAGGCACGGCGGGUCAUUAUGGAGAGGAUUGGCUUGGCCACGGCUGGAGAGCCCUACCAUGAUAUCCGCUUCAACCUGAUGGCAGUGGUUCCGGACCGCAGGGUGAAGUAUGAGUCAAAACUGGAGAUCCUGAAGAGGAACAGACAGAUGGUACUGGAGGGUCUACAGCAGCUGAUCCGGGUCACCCAGCCAGAGCUUGUACAGGACAGGAAGAAGCCAGACUCCUCCCCCUCAGACGACACACCCCCUACUAUCAAAAAAGAAGAGGCGGACCCUCAACCUGUUACAUCACAGGGGGCUGAGCAGACUCCUCCCACAAACACAGCAGCCCAGUCCCAAUUGGUCGCGAGCUCCUCAGGCAAGGGGAAAGCCAUGGGGAAGCCAGCUGCCCCAUUGGGGGGAGCGGGGACCUCCCAGCCUGUCACCAGCCCCAUCGUCCCUCGCCUACCAGCCUUCUUGGACAACCACAACUACGCCAAGUCCCCCAUGCAGGAGGAUGAGGACCUUGCGACAGGGGUGGGUCGUCCCCGGGUGCCCGGUGCGCCCCAGCCCCCCUACUCUGAUGACGAUGACUAUGAGGAUGAAGAGGAGGAAGAGCUUGGCACACCAACCAGGUUCAGGCGUAAAGGGGUGCUGCGUUCCCGUACAGGCCGUGUCGGGGGAGGCAGCGGCGUAGAGACCAAGCUGGCACUCGGCGUCCUGGCCGAGAAACUCAAGAAGGAAGUCCAGAGGAAGGACUCUCUGGCCACGCCCCUCUCCGUCCGUACCGAGGGCCGCACUGGGGGCAUCGUGAUCACAGCCGCCUCCCAACCCUCGCCCACACCCAGCAACGAGAGCACCGACACCGCCUCGGAGAUCGGCAGCGCCUUCAACUCACCACUGCGCUCCCCGGCCCGCUCCCAGGCGGCCACGCGGCCCUCCAGCCCUGUGGCAUCCCACCUGUCCCGGGUGUUGUUUGGGGAGGAUGAGGGUCUGCUGAGGCUGGAUGCCAGACAGAACCGGGCCGUCAGAGAGCUGGGGCCCUCCGUCAGCACCGCCCUGCUGCACCUACAGGAGGACGGGGUUAUAUACACUGUACCACCACCUGGUGAGGAAGGACGGGUGUGUGCGUGGCUGAUACAGCUCUUGAAGAGAAGAAGGCAGGCGCUCCAGAGAAGGUAAUAGAGCAAGGUAGCAAUCCAGCAGUAGAGGGGGACGGAGUGAAGGAGGAGGGGAAGGAGGGACCAUCGGUGGAGGUGAAAGAGGAAGAGAUCAGAGAUGCAACAGAGGUCAAACCCAGCAUGGAAAAGGUCAUCUCCACAGAAACUGUUGGAAGCAACAAGCCAUCUGGGGAAAAAUACUCUCCUAAAGAGCUGCUUGCUCUGCUCAAGUGUGUGGAGGCUGACAUCGCCAACUAUGAAGUGUUUCUAAAGGAGGAGGUGGAGAAGAGGAAAAAAUACAAGAUUGAUGACCAGAGGAGGACCCAUAAUUAUGACGAGUUCAUCUGCACCUUCAUAUCCAUGCUGGCACAAGAAGGCAUGUUGGCCAGUCUGGUUGAGCAGAAUAUCUCUGUGCGUCGUCGCCAGGGAGUGAGCAUCGGACGUUUACACAAACAGAGGAAACCAGACCGCAGGAAACGCUCGCGACCCUACAAGGCCAAGCGCCAGUGACCCCAGGAAGUGCUUGCUUGGGUUCCUUCUGCACCAAUCAUGGCAGAGAAAAGGCAAAAACCCUUGUUGCACUCACGACACUGUCCUGGGAAUUCAGGGAGAAAAUUACUCAUUCAUGUUGUUGUAUUUUAGUGUCAGAGUUUUUUUGUGUUUUUUUUCAUCCAAUGGACCAUCUGUUGAUUAGCUGAACCAAAUGAUGUAACGUUAUGCUUUCCUGUAACAUAAAAAAAAAUGCAUGUUAGACUCCCAAAUGGCACCUUAUUCCUAUAUCAUGCACUACCCUAUGGGCUAUGGUCAAAAUAGUGCACCAUAAUAGGGAAUAGGGUGACAUUUGGGAUGAACACCUAGUCUCCAUGUUAAAAGGACCUUUGUCUGCGCCAUCACACUGUGUACUGGGUCAUGUUCAUUAGGGCAGAAAAUGUUUUGCAAUAGGAAAAUAAGCAUUUGCAAUUCCGGAUAGUCAUUCCAUUGGGGGCCUAAUGAACACACCCCAGGGGUGACUCAACUGACUGUGAGGGACACAGGAAGCUGCUUGGAAGUCUGGGAGUUAGUCUGAUCAUGUCACGUGAUAUAAUCCUCAUUCCUGGCAAGCAGGGCUGGUUCACCACUAUUUGCUUGCUUGUAUCAUGCUUUGGCAGUACUGUAUGUGGUUGUAUCCCAGAUGGCACCCGAUUUCCUAUCAAGUGCACUACUUUUAGGGCCCAAGGGCUCUGGUAAAAGUAGUGCACUAGGGAAUGGGGUGCCAUUUGGGACUUAAUCUAAAUCUCUUUGGAGGUCCUGUAACUGUAUAGAUGAGAUCUACUCAUUUAAUGUUUUAUCUGUAAAUCUCUCAAUUAAGAUUCUGAUCAUUGGAGAGCAUUGUCAGUGUGUUUUUGUACAUACAGUAUGUAUCUGUCUGCUCAGCAUCAGUGGUAAUGGAAGUGUUUAAAAAAAUGGUUAUCCUAGUCACAUGAAUAACUACAAUAAACUCAACAAAAGCAC